AUGAAUGUUGAUGGUGCGGUCGCUCGCCACAGAAGAGGAGGAGCAGUUUCGGCAAUAUGUAGAGACAGUCAAGGAAUUUACCUUGGGUUCUCGGCGAUGGUGUAUCCCGGUGUGACCGGCCCAGUGAUGCUCGAGACAUUCGCCUGCAGGGAAGCUCUAUCACUUGCAGAGGAUCUUAAUCUGCAUAAGAUCACGGUGGCGUGUGACAGUCAGGGAGUGAUUGACGACAUCAACAAGGGGACGGGAGGACCCGCUGCUAUAGUACAUGAAAUAAUAGGGCGUAAGAGUGGUUUUCAGUUUUGUAAUUUCAUUCAUGAGCGUAGAAACUAUAACUUUGAGGCUCAUAAGCUCGCCAAGUUCUCUUGUAACCUGCAAUUAGGUAGACAUGUGUGGUUGGGAACUCCUCAUGACCCAACAGUUGUACCUAUGAACAUUGCGUUGGAAUAA
rnacentral:rRNA from 1 species